rnacentral:lncRNA from 1 species
UGGAAGAGCCAGCCCUCAGGCAUCCAAGUUCAGAGGGGGCUCAAAGUGUCCCAAAUCAUGGCUUGCAAGAGAGGGAAAGAAGUUAGAACUAGGAAUAAGCGCGAAGUGAUUAGGGAACAAUAAAAAAUGGUAUUCAUGCCUAGCCACAAGUGCAGGCUGGCACAUCCCUGACUACUUGUUUGGGUUGAACAAGUUAGGAGCAUACUUAGAAGGUUAGGCCUAAAUCUGGAUAUUGAUUAGGACACUAUCAGACUUAAGUCAAGGCUCAAACACAUAAGAGGGCAAAAAGGAAGUGGGAAUUUAUUGAGUUAAGGAGUUUAAAGAACAUAGUUUAGGGCCAUAGACAUCAAUGUUAUAGUGGUGCUAUGUCUUGAACCAUACUCACAUACAAAUGGGUAAGGGAUAGGGGUUCACAUAAGAGAACUAGUACUAAAAUUGCAGGAACAUAGUGAAGAAGACAUAGCAAAUCUUUAAAAAUUAAACAUGUAGUAGAGCAGCAUUAUCAAAUUAAGAAGAACAUACCAAUUGCAAAGUGAAUAAUAAACAGAAUAGCAGAGCAAUCGCUGAAAGUAAAAUAGUAUGAGAAAAACUCAAGUUUCUGCAGAACAGUAGAAGGAUUGAAGAAAAUUUAAAGUUGUUUCAGAAAUCAAGAGUAGAAAGUAGAGUGCUUAGUACUGUGAUUGAGAGUGUAGUGUAAAGUAAGUGUUAAAGCAUGUAGAGCUUGUUUCAAGUGCAGAAGUUAUGUCUCAAGUGCAAGAGGGUAGCCCCUUUUAUAGUGCUGAAAACAAGUAAGGAAAGGGUAAGAGAAUAGUUUCGAAAUCAAUACAUAAGGUUUCCGUUUUGAUAAGGGAUUUGAUGCAAACGGGUAAGACAAUUAAGGAAAGGUUUUGAUUUAAAAUCUUUUCCAAAUCAAUAUAAUAUGGGAAAACACAAUAGUUUAUAUAAGAAAAUGGUUUAGCACUACACGGUUUGGGAAAAAUAGGGAAAGACAAUCUAUCAACAGCCAGUAAAUUCACAAUUUGAGUCUUGGUAUGAAUGAAUCAAACCAGGAAAGGUGAAGAGGGGUUUAAUUUAAAGAAAAUAAAUAACGCUCAAUCAAACCUUAGAAAAAGGAGUUCGGAAUCAAUCACAAGUUGGAAAAAACAAGACUUUUGAAAGAAAGGCUCUCAUAUAUAAAGAACUCAAACAACACAAACAAGAGAACAUCAUAUAGAAAAGAUUUAGAGUCAUACAGACAGGGUUCAGCAGUCUCCUUCAGAGGCUUAUGAGAAGACAAACAAAAAGAACAGGAGUUUCAAGUAAAAUAGAAUGUCGAACUAAUUUGAAACAUAGGGAACACAUGUAAGAACAGUUUGUUACUCAAAUAAUUCCAGAAGAGAAGAGGCAACAGAAGCUUAGAAAAAUAGCAGAGGACGCAUGCUUAGAAAAACGAAAAUCCAGUAAAGGCAAAUAGAGAUUAAAAGCUCAGUAAAAUACAGUAAAGGAACUUACGAGAUGGACAUGAAAAGCAUGCUUAUAGAAAUCAGUAGAAAGAAGAACAUAAUAGAAGUACACUCAUAACAAGGUAAAUAUGAGAACGCAAGAGAAAAACUCAUCAUAACAUGGCAUAGACAGAUUUACACAAAGAAAAGAAGAAGAAGAGACAUAAGUCAUUUUGUGAUUUUAAUAAACCCUAAAUUGAAAACAAAUUUAUGUUUUUAAAAAGAAAAAGAAAAUUAGGGAAAAGGCUUAAUACGUUGACGAUAGCACAGAUUCACCACAGAUCUAGGCAAAUAAAAGAAGAAGGAGCAUCGAAUAGCUUUAGGGUUUCUCUGAAAUCCUAGAAAUGAAAAGGCUCGGAAGAAAGUCCAAUCUGGAGUCGGAGAUGGCCAUAGCUAGCCUCCUAAUGCUUGAAUACAUCAGAGAAAAGCUGGAGAGGACAUAGAACCAUAGAUCUGUAGAGGAUCUGAACGUACAUUAUCGAGGUUAGACCUCGAAAUCUCAAACACCCAUGGCUUGGGGUGAAGGAAGGAGAGUACAGGUCGUCCAUGGCCUGAGAAGCCAUGGACUCCAUUGAGAUAAUGGUCGAAGAAGGGUAGGCGGCUACAAGGGUUUCAAGUUCUUGAGAGCAUUUUGAGGGAGAAGAGGUUUC